AGUGAACGCUGGCGGUAGGCCUAACACAUGCAAGUCGAACGGCAGCACAGGAGAGCUUGCUCUCUGGGUGGCGAGUGGCGGACGGGUGAGGGGUACAUCGGAAUCUACCUUUUCGUGGGGGAUAACGUAGGGAAACUUACGCUAAUACCGCAUACGACCUACGGGUGAAAGUGGGGGACCGCAAGGCCUCACGCGAUUAGAUGAGCCGAUGUCCGAUUAGCUAGUUGGCGGGGUAAUGGCCCACCAAGGCGACGAUCGGUAGCUGGUCUGAGAGGAUGAUCAGCCACACUGGAACUGAGACACGGUCCAGACUCCUACGGGAGGCAGCAGUGGGGAAUAUUGGACAAUGGGCGCAAGCCUGAUCCAGCCAUACCGCGUGGGUGAAGAAGGCCUUCGGGUUGUAAAGCCCUUUUGUUGGGAAAGAAAUCCUGUCGAUUAAUACUCGGUGGGGAUGACGGUACCCAAAGAAUAAGCACCGGCUAACUG
rnacentral:rRNA from 1 species